rnacentral:lncRNA from 1 species
AAAAUAAAAGCCUAGAACUACAAAAACGCAGCAAACAAAAAAACUAGCAGUACCAAAACAACCUCCCACCCAACCGUAACAAACAAAGCAUAAUUUGCACGGCUUCUAUAUCUACUAUUUCAAUUUGUUAUUUUAAAUGGAAGAAAAUUACAGGGUUGAAGUAAAGAUCUAUAAAUCCUACUCAUAGACCAAAGAUAUUUUGUUCAAUGUUGAGACAAGGCAAUAAACAACAAUAGCAGAAGAAAAAAAAAACAGAGAAAAUAUACCAAUCACCAAAUCUAUGUUGAGUAAUAGAAGAAUUGAGAUGAAAUUAGAUGGUACUUUGAAAAGAAUAGUGAAAUCAAAACCCAAAUUAGCAAAUAGUUGAUGAACAUACAAAGAUCAUAUGAUGUUUUUUAUAUAGAAGAACAUGAGUGAAAAUGUUUAG